rnacentral:rRNA from 1 species
UACAGAGGGGGCAAGCGUUGUUCGGAAUUACUGGGCGUAAAGGGCGCGUAGGCGGCCUUCUAAGUCGAACGUGAAAUCCCCGGGCUCAACCCGGGAACUGCGUCCGAUACUGGAAGGCUUGAAUCCGGGAGAGGGAUGCGGAAUUCCAGGUGUAGCGGUGAAAUGCGUAGAUAUCUGGAGGAACACCGGUGGCGAAGGCGGCAUCCUGGAACGGCAUUGACGCUGAGGCGCGAAAGCCAGGGGAGCAAACGGG